UCUCACCCACAACGUCCUCUGUCCUCCACCCUCACUCUUCUUUCCGCUACCUGUCUUUUUACUGACAAGUGUUGACCACAUGACUGCAGUUGGUUUGCAUGCUGGGCAGUUUCAGGUUAUGGUCUUAUUUUGUCAUGGAACCUGCAACCCAUGCUCACACAUGCGCACGCACGCACACACACACACACACACACACAUGCACACACACAAACAAACACACACACGACUAGCAGGAUAAUAAAAGUGAGGGACUGUGAGUGAAGCGGACAGAAAGAAGACAGACACCUUCAAGACAACAAGAUAGGCAAGCAGGCCAGAUAGACAACAAUCAAGAUGAUGAUGAUGAUGAUGAAAGCCCAUCAUUCUGGUGACCUGUAUCUUGCUUUUCUCAUCUCUCACCAUUGUGGCAUCUGAAAACAGCUCUGGUCCAGAUGACUGCUGUUUUCAGUUUUACCCCAAAAGGUUGCCUAUAAGGAGGGUGGUGAGCUACAAAUACACAGACCCGCGGUGUUCAAAGAAAGCUGUGAUGUGAGUGUCUUAUCUCCUGUUAUUAAACUUCAACCUUACAAGUUCACAAUCAACUUUAUUGGCCAUGUAUGUUUAAUUAUACAAACAAAUUGACUCAGGUUUGAAUGUAUUCAUACACAGGAAGAUUCACGUAUACACAUGCUGCUAAACAAAGACAACAAAGCUACACAAAGUUUAUUAAACCUAAACAUACUGUAUAGUUAUUAUGUACAGGCAUGUACUUAUGAAUAUAGAUGUACAUAUAAACAACAAAUGGUAACAAAUGCACAGUAUCUACAUAAGUUCAAAUGUUAAUAUAAAUUUAUUGGAAACAGACUCUCAGUGUUAAUUUUUUAAUGAAAAAGAGUAUCUGUCACCAAAAACUGACACUGAAAACGGCAUCAACAGUCUUUGUCUCUGUUUCAGUUUACGAUGAUCAGUGGUGCUGAACUCUGUACCAACCCGUCUGAGCCGUGGGUCCAGAAUAUCAUCACCGCCAAAGAGUGGGACCAUACCAACACAGCUCUGGGUGUAAAAUCUAACUGACCCAACGUGUGUUUUAACACCACACUUUAAAGCUCGCUGAGCCACGCAGAAGGGGUGGUGUAGUGGUAACCUGCAAUCUAUCUUCAGCUUUCUCUACUUUUAUACAGAAUAUUUUUCUAUUAGCUUAAAAAUAAAUGCAAAAUAACUUUU